GAGUACAGGAAGUGCAGGUUGCCCACAUUGUCUAUGUAGUUUGCAGGACUUAGCCAAGGCAGGACCAGCAAGAGUAGAGCCUUCAUUCUCAGGGCAGGGCCGGCACUGCUGCAGGGUC